UGUGCCCAACAUUUGCAUUUGUCAGGACAGAUCUAUAUAAGAUGACCUACCACCUGCCAUGACUUGCUAGACUUCUCUUUGUAGAAUGGUGUAUCAUCAUCCAUGUCCUGCUGUCAGAAAACAUUUGUCAGCCAACAUUUGCUUUGUUUCAUCCUUACUUUUAGUUCUCAUCACACCACCUUGUGCAUAACAAGGACAUCCUGACAUACUAUGCUAGCUUCUUGAAGACUGCUGCAAUAAGAUGCUCCUGUAAUGAGCACCUUCAACAGGAAGGUAGUCUAUAGAUGUUCCUGAUACCUUGGAUCUUGCAAGAAAACAGAUGUGCUCGGAGUACUUGACAAUCCUCGACAAUCUCACUUUGAAUGAGGGACCAGGAAAUGGAGAGCACAGAAAUAAGAAACUUUUUUUUGGUUGCACUUGAUCAUUCUUGAAUCUUGACACUGGGGACAAAGACUUGGGCAAGGUUCCAAACUGGCUCUUCCACUUGAAAUCCAUUCUUAUGUCCCUAUGUGCACAUUAAGGUGAGCACUAAGCCUAGGUCUAGUGUUUCAGUUUUAAAUCUCAAUUCCCUUGCUCAGCUUUGGGGCCAAACUCUUGCGAGGGAAUAGACAUGCACAGCAGAUCAGUGGCCUUCUUUCAGGAUACCUGUUUCCACUAAAUGUGUGAAGAAGCCAAAGAUUAGACUAGACGUUUUGGCCAAGAGACCCACUAAUUAAGCAGCAAUGUAGCCCCACCCCGACGAAGCAUAUUUCUUUUUGUUUAGCACUUUCACAAAACAUUGCCACUGUGACCUGAAGUUAUUGCUCAUGCUGUUUGGAUUUUAGACAGCCAUUUCUUCAGGUCAAAGUCUAAGCCCAGCUUAGGUUCCUGGAAGAGUUGUUCAAAGGAUGUCUAAGAUGGGAAAAGGAUGUGAAGGGUGGUUCGGUAAGAGUCUGCACUGAAAUGGAGCACUGGCAACUCUAAAUCUCAACCUGGGUUGUACCCAUAGAUGACUUAAACACGUUUUUUCUCCUGUCAUGCCUCCCUUCCCCAAACAAACCUCUUCAUUCUACUGAUCCAGAGACAGCUGCAUUUGACUCAUCUAAUGCUUGAGAACUGAAAAUGCAUCUUUUGUUAUAAAGGUUCUCCAGUACAGUGGGCUGCUAACCAUGCUUUUCAUGGCUUCAGGGAUCAUCUCAUCAAUGAAAUUAUCAACUUCAAUUACCAAUUAAAGCUGUUUAGUACACAAAUCAUCAUAAUUUAUGAUAAUUUUAAUUUGAAUAACUGGGAAGCUUUUAUUCAGUGUAGCAAGCAGCACCUGAUAAAGUUAGUACAUAUUCUUGAAACUGUCAGCUGUACACAUAUUGAAUGUAACUGUAAUGCUGCUGGACCUCUGGGCUCCCUGAAAAGAAAUGUGACUCCAUAGGUACUCUUAUAGCUUGGCUGCUGACCAGUUUAAUAUGAGCUGAACACACCAUCCACACAUAGGGCCCCUAGGUGGACCAUCAGAAACAAAGGUUGGUUCUGGGGCCUCUGAAAGGGCAAGCAGUGAGCUUUCGUGCUCUGAGGUUAGAGGUGAACAGCCAAGAACAUUGGAAAAUUAUUCUUCUACUGUCCUGCUGAAAACAGUGUCCUGCAGAUCAUGUGGAGGCUAUGCUUAUUGUGGCUUCAUUUUUCUUUUCAUUUUCAUUAUUUCACCCACCAGACUUAGGCCAGUACCACUGCAGGAGGUGUUAGGGUGACAAACCACCAGAAGGAACUGAGCCACAUGUAGCAGAAAAUAGAAAAUGUAACUAUUUGUGUUGGCAUACCUGAGGAGCAGGGUGGAAUAAGACCCCUGGAGCCUGUGUCACCAGCAGUGGUCAUCACCUGGGGUCCUUAGAUUUGGCAGUCAGGUGGUAGCAGUAAUAUCCCAAAGUUAGAAGUGCUUCUGCUGUGUCAAGCCACCCCUGUGACGGGAAUUCUGUACAAAUCAUGGCAGUGCUCUCCACCAAAUGUUCUGCAGGAAUAAAAGGCAAAAUAAAUAGUAAGUGACUUAAGUGAGGCUACUGGCUUGCUUCAAAUUAUUCCAAAUUAAGUCAUUUUUGAACUUAAAACCUUUGGUUUAAAAUAAACCAGAAAGCCAUCAGGGAAGAAAAACCUGAGUGCCACAAAAACCGAGCUGUGAGUUCAAGGAUAUGAUUCAUUUUCCCCUUUCCUCUCCGUCCAUUCGGGGGCCAGCAAAAUCCAUCUCUUACCCGGCCGUUCUUUACUCUGAAACUUGGAGUAAUGGGAGGAACAGAGGAGUUAAUGUGACAGCAUGUUUGUAGAAGGCUCUGCCAUGGGUGUCCUGUGAAUUGUUCUUGAUAUUCCUCAGCUGGUAUCCUGUUUCUCUGAGUACAGACAGGCGUGUUGUGGCCAUACAGAUCUUGUGCCUAAACAAUAUGCCUGUGUAGUAUUAAUGUGAGGCUUGGGCUAAAUCAUGUUUCUCUAGUUCUUUGAAGCCAGUAUCUGUACGGCACCCCCCAACCACACAGACAUACGAGCACACACACGCGGCUUCCAGGAUAUGGCAUGAACAGCUGAAGAACCUGUGACUGCUAUUUUUGUUGUUGAUGCCCAUUUUCACCACGUCCAGCAUGUGCUCUGAACUGACUGCUUCCAAGAACGUCACCCUUCUCAAUGUGUGUGGACAUUAAUCUUCCAGAGAGGAAUUUAAAUGGCAGGGUGGACCCCUCGAGCUAAUAUAAGGGAGGUGAUGCCCUGCCUGGUUUUAA